ensembl:lncRNA
CUCAGGGAGCAGGCGAGGGGGUGGAGCUGUCUGUGGCUGUGGCUGCUGCUGCCUCGGGAGACGGCGGAGCGGGCGGGGCGGGCUGUUGCCUCCAGGCCUCACGUCCACCUGCCCACCCGCUCCCACUGCGGUCAGUCGGCGGGGUAUGCGCCGGGCCGAACCCAUGGCGGUGUCGGCGGCCCUGUCUGCGGCUGCGGCGGCUGCCAUGUCGGGCCUGGCUGUGCGGCUGUCUCGCUCGGCUGCGGCCCGCGGCUCGUACGGCGCCUUCUGCAAGGGGCUCACGCGCACACUGAUCACCUUCUUCGACCUGGCCUGGCGGCUGCGCAUGAACUUCCCCUACUUCUACAUCGUGGCCUCGGUGAUGCUCAACGUCCGCCUGCAGGUGCGGAUCGAGUGAGCGCCCGCAACCACCGCGGCCGCGACGGCAGGGGCGCCGGCAUGAAGCUCCGCGGGGCCCAGGGCCGCCGGGACGCGGCGGGGGAAGGAGAAGGGGCGGCCCGGGCCCCCGGACCCUAGACCUCGGCGGAGGUCACGGCCACCGAGCCUCAAGCCCCGGCUCUGGUCACCCACGUCGCGGCCGGUGACGAACUGCACAGAAACUCGCGAAACGGGCCCUUUCCAUCGAACUCGAGAAAAUUACUUGAGUGCGGCCGACCUGUUGCCACACCUUGGGCGAAGUGAGGAGCAGAAGGAAGAAAUUCUGCAGCAGGAACGUGAAUGACUGGCCCUGACCAAAGAGCGCUUUGCAAACCGGCCCCCUGCCUGGUCUCUGCGGCCGGGGGACUGCUCUCUGCCUGCUGCUGCUGGCCCUGUUGCUCCCCUCUCCGCUCUCCUGGGGCAUCCUCCAAAGCUCCGCAUCUGCGGCCACGGAAGAGCAGGAAAGGUGCAUUCCUCCCCGGCCCUCCCGCCAUCUCAGCCACGCUCCCUCCAGCUCCUCCCCGUGCCCUCCCGGUGCCACAGCCCUGGACGGCCUCCAGCAGCCCCCGUGUCCCAGAGGAUUUGGGAAAGUGGGGAUCUCCUUGAGCAGAGGGCAGCUCUCAGGCUGGAGGGCAGAUGGAGAAGGGGCUUGUAGAGGAGUUGACACUUGGCGAGACAGGGACCUCUCUGGGUGGGGAGGCAGCUCUCAAGUCCCCAUCUCUUUCUUUGUCUCAGGAACUGGUGUUAUAGGAAGUGACCUGCCCCUUCUCUGGUCUUGUCAAGAGAGUGCCUAACCCUAACCCUGACCCUGACCCUAGAGCUGCCUGGGGAGCAGCCUAGAGAAGGGCCUGACCCAUGAGGACAGGAAGGGACCAGGCAGAGACCCCGAGGGAGGGGGUGGCCCAGUGGUCCGGUUCUGGCAUGGGGAAGGAAGGACAGACCUAGCGACACUCUGGGGGAGCUCUGUCCUCCCCACCUACUGGGGCUCUGGGAGGGGAGCGCUUUGCCCUUAUCACACAGGUAAGAAGUGGUGGAGCCGAAUCUGCCUCUGGGCCUGCACUCUCCCACCUUCUUCUGAAAGACCUAGCGCAGUGGGAUGGGGGAAGGGAGCAGAGGCUCCCAGGGGACCUAGAGACAGAGGGGCCCAUGGUAGGGAAAGUGGAGUGUAUGGGAAGUCACAGGGAAGACCGGGGGACAGUCUGAGCUG